rnacentral:rRNA from 1 species
UACAGAGGUCUCAAGCGUUGUUCGGAUUCAUUGGGCGUAAAGGGUGCGUAGGCGGGUCUUUAAGUCAGGGGUGAAAUCCUGGAGCUCAACUCCAGAACUGCCUUUGAUACUGAAGAUCUUGAGUUCGGGAGAGGUGAGUGGAACUGCGAGUGUAGAGGUGAAAUUCGUAGAUAUCGGGAGGAACACCAGUGGCGAAGGCGGCGACCUGGGCCAAUAUUGACGCUGAGGUGCGAAAGCGUGGGGAGCAAACAGG